GGGGGCGUAAUGGUCUCGACGGGGAUUUUGAAGCAUGGGAAGCGAGUAGAGGCGCAGGACCUCUUAAAAACCUGACACUUUAAAAUUAAACGACAACAAUAACGUUGCAUUUGCUGCUUAAUUAAGCAGCCGUCCAACCGGAUAGGACCACGGAUUCGGAUUGGGCGUCGAUUAGUGGUGAACGUCGCCGUAAGGUGCCUCCCGCGCGGACGAUGUACAGGAGGAUACCAAGUCCUUUAGCUUGUUUGUCAGCGACUGGAUGAGGGAAUGGAAAGGACAAACUGCACUCGGAGAUGCCUGUGUGGAUAGAUUUUCGGACAGGAGUUCGAUUCUCCUCGCCUCCACCA
rnacentral:tmRNA from 1 species